GCAACAAGAUGCAGAUUUUCGUUAAGACAUUGACGGGUAAGACCAUCACCCUUGAGGUUGAGCCUUCUGAUACCAUCGAAAAUGUUAAGGCGAAAAUCCAAGACAAGGAAGGUAUUCCUCCCGACCAGCAACGUUUGAUUUUUGCUGGUAAACAGCUGGAAGACGGACGCACUUUAUCUGAUUACAACAUUCAGAAAGAGUCUACGCUUCACUUGGUAUUGCGUCUACGGGGUGGUGUUAUUGAGCCCUCACUCCGUAUCUUGGCACAGAAAUACAACUGUGACAAAAUGAUUUGUCGCAAGUGCUACGCUCGUCUUCAUCCCAGGGCAACCAACUGCCGCAAGUCGAAGUGUGGUCAUACUAACAAUUUGCGCCCCAAAAAGAAGCUGAAAUAAGUGUAUUCUCGGGCAUCUUGCUUGGAAAUGAAAAUGAAAUACAAAAUUUUCAAUGAAGUUCGGAAUAUACCUAAAACAAAAUGUGAGGGUAUACAUCUACAGACAACAGUUUAUUGUUACUUACUUGCGUCAUGAAUGGCCUUCGUUUCUUUUCUUGAAUGCAAGAUAACGCUAUAGAGUGCAAAGUUGAAGCCAUGUUCUCUGGCAAUGGAACUAUCUUAGGGUCUAAUAAAUGAAUAAAGUUGA